UAUUAACUCUGGCGGCGUGCUUAACACAUGCAAGUCGAACGAAGCAUUUAGGACAGAUUACUUCGGUUUGAAGUUCUUUAUGACUGAGUGGCGGACGGGUGAGUAACGCGUGGGUAACCUGCCUUGUACUGGGGGAUAGCAGCUGGAAACGGCUGGUAAUACCGCAUAAGCGCACAAUGUUGCAUGACAUGGUGUGAAAAACUCCGGUGGUAUAAGAUGGACCCGCGUCUGAUUAGCUAGUUGGUGAGAUAACAGCCCACCAAGGCGACGAUCAGUAGCCGACCUGAGAGGGUGACCGGCCACAUUGGGACUGAGACACGGCCCAGAAUCCUACGGGAGGCAGCAGUGGGGAAUAUUGCACAAUGGAGGAAACUCUGAUGCAGCGACGCCGCGUGAGUGAAGAAGUAAUUCGUUAUGUAAAGCUCUAUCAGCAGGGAAGAUAGUGACGGUACCUGACUAAGAAGCUCCGGCUAAAUACGUG
rnacentral:rRNA from 1 species